GUGCCAGCCGCUGCGGUAAUACGUAGGGGCAAGCGUUAUCCGGAUUUACUGGGUGUAAAGGGAGCGUAGGCGGCAUGGCAAGUCAGAUGUGAAAGGCAGGGGCUCAACCCCUGGACUGCAUUUGAAACUGUCAGGCUGGAGUGCAGGAGAGGUAAGUGGAAUUCCUAGUGUAGCGGUGAAAUGCGUAGAUAUUAGGAGGAACACCAGUGGCGAAGGCGACUUACUGGACUGUAACUGACGCUGAUGCUCGAAAGCGUGGGAGCGAACAGGAUUAGAUAACCCUGGUAGUCCACGCCGUAAACGACUGAAUACUAGGGUGUCGGGUCCGAACGA
rnacentral:rRNA from 1 species